rnacentral:rRNA from 13 species
GGGUUGUGAGGUUAAGCGACUAAGCGUACACGGUGGAUGCCCUGGCAGUCAGAGGCGAUGAAGGACGUGCUAAUCUGCGAAAAGCGUCGGUAAGGUGAUAUGAACCGUUAUAGCCGGCGAUGUCCGAAUGGGGAAACCCAGUGCAAUUCGUUGCACUAUCGUUAACUGAAUACAUAGGUUAACGAGGCGAACCGGGGGAACUGAAACAUCUAAGUACCCCGAGGAAAAGAAAUCAACCGAGAUUCCCCCAGUAGCGGCGAGCGAACGGGGAGCAGCCCGGAGUCUGAAUCAGCUUGUGUGUUAGUGGAAGCGUCUGGAAAGUCGCAGGGUACAGGGUGAUACUCCCGUACACUAAAACACACAGGCUGUGAACUCGAAGAGUAGGGCGGGACACGUGGUAUCCUGUCUGAAUAUGGGGGGACCAUCCUCCAAGGCUAAAUACUCCUGACUGACCGAUAGUGAACCAGUACCGUGAGGGAAAGGCGAAAAGAACCCCGGCGAGGGGAGUGAAAAAGAACCUGAAACCGUGUACGUACAAGCAGUAGGAGCCCACUAGUUGGGUGACUGCGUACCUUUUGUAUAAUGGGUCAGCGACUUAUAUUCUGUAGCAAGGUUAACCGUAUAGGGGAGCCGCAGGGAAACCGAGUCUUAACUGGGCGUUAAGUUGCAGGGUAUAGACCCGAAACCCGGUGAUCUAGCCAUGGGCAGGUUGAAGGUUGGGUAACACUAACUGGAGGACCGAACCGACUAAUGUUGAAAAAUUAGCGGAUGACUUGUGGCUGGGGGUGAAAGGCCAAUCAAACCGGGAGAUAGCUGGUUCUCCCCGAAAGCUAUUUAGGUAGCGCCUCGUGAAUUCAUCUUCGGGGGUAGAGCACUGUUUCGGCUAGGGGGUCAUCCCGACUUACCAACCCGAUGCAAACUACGAAUACCGAAGAAUGUUAUCACGGGAGACACACGGCGGGUGCUAACGUCCGUCGUGAAGAGGGAAACAACCCAGACCGCCAGCUAAGGUCCCAAAGUCAUGGUUAAGUGGGAAACGAUGUGGGAAGGCCCAGACAGCCAGGAUGUUGGCUUAGAAGCAGCCAUCAUUUAAAGAAAGCGUAAUAGCUCACUGGUCGAGUCGGCCUGCGCGGAAGAUGUAACGGGGCUAAACCAUGCACCGAAGCUGCGGCAGCGACACUAUGUGUUGUUGGGUAGGGGAGCGUUCUGUAAGCCGUUGAAGGUGGCCUGUGAGGGUUGCUGGAGGUAUCAGAAGUGCGAAUGCUGACAUAAGUAACGAUAAUGCGGGUGAAAAACCCGCACGCCGGAAGACCAAGGGUUCCUGUCCAACGUUAAUCGGGGCAGGGUGAGUCGACCCCUAAGGCGAGGCCGAAAGGCGUAGUCGAUGGGAAACAGGUUAAUAUUCCUGUACUUGGUGUUACUGCGAAGGGGGGACGGAGAAGGCUAUGUUGGCCGGGCGACGGUUGUCCCGGUUUAAGCAUGUAGGCGGAUGUUCCAGGUAAAUCCGGAACGUUACUAACGCUGAGGUGUGAUGACGAGGCACUACGGUGCUGAAGUGACAAAUGCCCUGCUUCCAGGAAAAGCCUCUAAGCAUCAGGUAACAUCAAAUCGUACCCCAAACCGACACAGGUGGUCAGGUAGAGAAUACCAAGGCGCUUGAGAGAACUCGGGUGAAGGAACUAGGCAAAAUGGUGCCGUAACUUCGGGAGAAGGCACGCUGAUGGUAGGUGAAGUGACUUGCUCAUGGAGCUGAAAUCAGUCGAAGAUACCAGCUGGCUGCAACUGUUUAUUAAAAACACAGCACUGUGCAAACACGAAAGUGGACGUAUACGGUGUGACGCCUGCCCGGUGCCGGAAGGUUAAUUGAUGGGGUUAUCCUCACGGAGAAGCUCUUGAUCGAAGCCCCGGUAAACGGCGGCCGUAACUAUAACGGUCCUAAGGUAGCGAAAUUCCUUGUCGGGUAAGUUCCGACCUGCACGAAUGGCGUAAUGAUGGCCAGGCUGUCUCCACCCGAGACUCAGUGAAAUUGAACUCGCUGUGAAGAUGCAGUGUACCCGCGGCAAGACGGAAAGACCCCGUGAACCUUUACUAUAGCUUGACACUGAACACUGGUCCUUGAUGUGUAGGAUAGGUGGGAGGCUUUGAAGUGUGGACGCCAGUCUGCAUGGAGCCGUCCUUGAAAUACCACCCUUUAAUGGCUGGUGUUCUAACGUGGGCCCGUGAUCCGGGUUGCGGACAGUGUCUGGUGGGUAGUUUGACUGGGGCGGUCUCCUCCUAAAGAGUAACGGAGGAGCACGAAGGUCAGCUAAUCCUGGUCGGACAUCAGGAGGUUAGUGCAAUGGCAUAAGCUGGCUUGACUGCGAGCGUGACGGCGCGAGCAGGUGCGAAAGCAGGUCAUAGUGAUCCGGUGGUUCUGAAUGGAAGGGCCAUCGCUCAACGGAUAAAAGGUACUCCGGGGAUAACAGGCUGAUACCGCCCAAGAGUUCAUAUCGACGGCGGUGUUUGGCACCUCGAUGUCGGCUCAUCACAUCCUGGGGCUGAAGUAGGUCCCAAGGGUAUGGCUGUUCGCCAUUUAAAGUGGUACGCGAGCUGGGUUUAGAACGUCGUGAGACAGUUCGGUCCCUAUCUGCCGUGGGCGCUGGAGAAUUGAGGGGGGCUGCUCCUAGUACGAGAGGACCGGAGUGGACGCAUCACUGGUGUUCGGGUUGUCAUGCCAAUGGCAUUGCCCGGUAGCUAAAUGCGGAAGAGAUAAGUGCUGAAAGCAUCUAAGCACGAAACUUGCCCCGAGAUGAGUUCUCCCUGACUCCUUGAGAGUCCUGAAGGAACGUUGAAGACGACGACGUUGAUAGGCCGGGUGUGUAAGCGCAGCGAUGCGUUGAGCUAACCGGUACUAAUGAACCGUGAGGCUUAACCUUACAACGCCGAAG